rnacentral:rRNA from 1 species
GAUGAACGCUGGCGGCGUGCUUAACACAUGCAAGUCGAACGGGAUCCCAGGGGUGCUUGCACUUUUUGGUGAGAGUGGCGAACGGGUGAGUAACACGUGAGUAACCUGUCCUUUUCUGUGGGAUAAGCAUUCGAAAGGGUGUUUAAUACCUUAUGUUCUGUCUGCCUCGCAUGGGGUGGGUGGGAAAGGCUUUGGCCGGAUUUGGGUGGGCUCGCGGUCUAUCAGCUUGUUGGUGGGGUGAUGGCUUACCAAGGCUUUGACGGGUAGCCGGCCUGAGAGGGUGGUCGGUCACAUUGGGACUGAGAUACGGCCCAGACUCCUGCGGGAGGCAGCAGUGGGGGAUAUUGCACAAUGGGCGAAAGCCUGAUGCAGCGACGCCGCGUGGGGGAUGAAGGCCUUCGGGUUGUAAACUUCUUUUGCUCUGAACAAGGCAUGCCAGUGGGUGUGUUGAGUGUAGGGGUUGAUUAGCGCCGGCUAACUACGUG